rnacentral:lncRNA from 1 species
GAGCAACUGGCGGCAAAUUCAGAGGAACUCACUGGAAUAACACAGAAUUAUGAGUUAUUAUUGUUAAUUCACUGGAAUAACUGACAGAAUUCAGAAAAGGACUACACUUAAGAUUACAAUUUUAUUAUAGUCAAAAGGAUAAAAAUCAGGAGCCAAAAGAAGAGAUGCAUAGAGUGGGAUCUGGGAGGACCUCAAAUGUGAAGAUUCCAUAUCCUGUGCCCAUGGGGUCAGGACACAUCACCCUCCUGGCACUCGGUUGUGAAUCACAAACCUGGGAGGCUCACCUGAGCUUCCUAUCUAGUUUUUUUAUGGGUUUCUUUGUGUAGGUACAACUCAUGGAAUCAGUGCCCAGUUGGGUGAACUCAGUCUCCAGGGCUAUUCCAUGGUUCAGAGUCCUAACCAUCUAGUCAUAUGGUUGGCCUUUCUGGCCCAUCCAGCCCCACUCUAAGUUACAGGUGUGACCUGGCUCUACCUUGAGUCAUCUCAUUAGCAUGAACUAUCAGGUGUGAUUGGGGCCCAUGAUGAAUAAAAAGACAAUCCAAUCACUCAAAAAUUUCUGAGAGAGUAGAGGGUAUUUCCCAGGAACCUGGAGCAAAGGUCAGCCAAGUUCUUUAUCAUACAGCAGAUGCCAUGGCCAAGAGGAAGCUCAAAGGCGGGUCUGGGACUCAAGACAGAAAGGAGCAAUACACAUCCCCAGUCUGGACUGCAACUGCAAGCACCUAAGGCCCAGGACUCUGACACACACACACACACAACCAAUACCCCCUGUCCUCAGAGACCUGGGCAUCCUCGCACAGCACUCAGAACCCGUGGAGCCAGACGGUCCUCUCCAUGAUCAUCCCAGCUCCGGGAAGGUCACCUGGCAGGUGAGUUGGUGCUUUGGUCUUGUGGCCGUGGGAUGAGGGUGAGUGCUGAGGAGUGGGGGCAGCUCCAGGCAAGAAGGAAUAUAGCGAAGGCCCUACUCACACGGGCCCGUGGCAAGGCACACGUUAGGUU